GUGGUAGCGGGCCUGUUUCCUGAGGAAGUCCUCGGCUCGCUGCUGCCCGAGGCGCUGGUCCACCGUGGGCUCGGCCGCCCGGCUCUUGUUGGUGUUGUUGUUACGGUUCUCCUGGGGGUCGACCACCAGCGGCCGGUCCAGAGCGCCUCCCGACUGGCCAGAAGAUUCUGCUUCCUCAUCUCGCUUGUCCGCUGCUCCCACACCGACUUGGCGGGCUUCUGGUUCUUCUGUUGUUCCUUCCUGUAAAGAAAUUGUGCCGGGGUUAUGGAACUGCUGGGCGUCGUGGCCUGCAAGGGCCACUCAGGCCAAGAGGAGUGUGGGCCCAGGUGGACAUCUCAGCUCACCACCUCCUUGCUUUCUGGGAAAAAAGCCCCCUCUACAUUGUCCAGUGAUGCACUGCCCCACAGUGUUGCAAAGUCCCGGGACUACCCAACAAAGGCACGAUUCAGAAUAUCGGUGUAUCAGUCUUCUUGCCUGGAGAAUCCCAGGGAUGGGGGAGCCUGUGGGCUGCCAUCUAUGGGGUCGCACAGAGUCAGACACGACUGAAGUGACUUAGCAGCAGCAGCAGCAGUGUUAAUGAAUCUUUCUUUAAUCAAAACACCUUAACUCUCACCACCUGACCACCUCUGAUCCACUAGCAAAUUCUGUUCACUCUUACCUUCACGACCUGUCUAAAAUUCAGCUAUACCCAUCACCUGCUCUGGCACCACCCUGGUCCAUUCCUUAUUAUCCCUUUUGCAGGGAACAGUGCAGUCCUUUCCAACCUGGUCUCUUGCCCUUGCUCCCCUGAUAGUACCUGGAGGGCACCUGAGUCCCUAUUCCUCCUCAAGAACUGUCCAUGUUUCUCCCCUGGCUCACAACAAAAUUUUCCAUCUUCCCCACUGCCCAAAAGGCCCUACAGGAUCUGUUCAUCACCUGUCUGCCUGUACCUCCUGCCACUUCUCCACCCCCACUCAC